rnacentral:rRNA from 1 species
GACGAACGCUGGCGGCGUGCCUAAUACAUGCAAGUAGAACGCUGAAGAGAGGAGCUUACUCUUCUUGGAUGAGUUGCGAACGGGUGAGUAACGCGUAGGUAACCUGCCUUGUAGCGGGGGAUAACUAUUGGAAACGAUAGCUAAUACCGCAUAACAAUGGAUGACACAUGUCAUUUAUUUGAAAGGGGCAGUUGCUCCACUACAAGAUGGACCUGCGUUGUAUUAGCUAGUAGGUGAGGUAAUGGCUCACCUAGGCGACGAUACAUAGCCGACCUGAGAGGGUGAUCGGCCACACUGGGACUGAGACACGGCCCAGACUCCUACGGGAGGCAGCAGUAGGGAAUCUUCGGCAAUGGGGGCAACCCUGACCGAGCAACGCCGCGUGAGUGAAGAAGGUUUUCGGAUCGUAAAGCUCUGUUGUAAGUCAAGAACGGGUGUGAGAGUGGAAAGUUCACACUGUGACGGUAGCUUACCAGAAAGGGACGGCUAACUACGUG